rnacentral:rRNA from 1 species
GUCUACAGCCAGAUUACCCUGAACACUCCCAAUCUCAUUUGAUCUCAGAAGUUAAGUAGGGUCAGGCCUAGUUAGUACUUGACUGGGAGAUCCCCUGGGAAUACCAGGUACUGUAGAGC